GUCCCUGGAGCUAUGCUGGGCAGAGCCCUGGGGUGAUAACACAGCCCAGAGUAGCGAGAAGGAAGAUCAGGACCCAGCCCCAGGCGUGACAGGGGAGUGGACAGCAAUAGCAGAAUGUCUCAGACCUUGAAUUUCCCAGGGGCAGCAGUAGGACAGGCUUCUGUAGGACUUCUGAUCUGCUGAUAAAGCCUUCUGCUCCAAACACCCAGGCUGCUUUGGCUGGGUUUUUGCAAAGAGAAAAGCAGCAGGCAGGCAGCAAAUAUGGCCAGCAUCUGUGCAGCUUUUGUGAAGGACAAGCCUUGCGGCCUGCUGCAGCUCUUCGGCUGUUUCUAUCUCUUCUGGUAUUGAAGAAAUUUUGGGAACAGCCCUGAUGACUCAAUAAAAUGAGGUCUGGGUUUGCUCUGCUAAAUAAGUGUCACCAUUAAACAAGGUGUGGGAGGUGAGAGGCAGUAUCCAGCACCGAGCCUGGUCUAGCAAUUGGGUGUUUUAAAGUCACAAAUGUGUUUUGCUGGGUUGUUAGUGACACUCGUCGAAAAGAAAAAGCAAGGAAGAGCAAGGAAGCGAGUGGGGAUCCCAGAGGAUGGGAAGGAAAGUCAGAGCUGGGGCAUUGCUGGGCUCCCCCUGUGGGAGGGGACUUGGGGUGCGCCACAGCUUCACUGGGGAAGAGUUUUACCCAUCUGGGUCUUGUUUUUUCCUCCUGGUCCGAUGCAAAUAUUUUGUGCCCGAGCUCCCUUCCACGCCCCGCCCGAGGAGACCGUCAGGUUCAAGUCGCCGUGCCCCAACUUCCCCUCCGGCUUCCGCGGGAGAAGGCGAAGACGAGGAGGCACCUCCUUCCCGCAGCAGGAUUUGAAUAAGCAGCCCCGUUCCACCAUGCCCGCCCGCUGCCUGCUCCUCCUGGGACUGCUGCUCCAGCUGGAACCUGCCCUCUGCCAGCAGGCCCGGGGCAGCCUCCAGCCGUGGGCACAGGGUGUCAUCGCAGUGGUUGUAUUUCUAGUCCUGGUGGCCAUCGCUUUCGUGGUCAACAGGUUCUGGUGUAAGGAUAAAGUGGAAAAUGUCGAGAACGUGGUGAGUGUGGAGGACAAGCCAGAUGCUGUCACAUCCAACGGCCGUGAAGUGAGAUGUGUAUCAGCUGCAGCUGACUUCAGGUCCAAAGAGAACCAGCACGCCUAUGAGAACUCUGUGGAGCCUGAGGAGAAGGUGAUCACCACGGCCAUGUAGCAGCACCCACCCGCCAACCUCCUCUUCCUCUCAACUUGCUUCCCGCUGUUGCGGUGGGCAUUUCCACAGAGACCCCUCUGCACUGGCACCCCCUGAUGAGCGUGAUUGGGAAGACAACUUCUGGCAUGGCAGUGCUCAUUCCUUCCACACUGCCCUGAAGAGUUGGGGAAUGUCCUCCAGAGUCAGGGCUGGACAUGAGACCUCCAGGUGAGGGGCACCUCCCACAGCCUCAGCAACCUCUCUGAAGGGCCCCGAGCCAACUUGCCCGAGGGCCAAAUCCUCCCCAACACCUUUUUCCACGCAGCACACAGGGAUGAAGGAGUCCUUCACAAACCUUCCCAUGCCCACUAGUGAAGCGUGAGGACACCAUGAGUGUUCUCUCCUACCCUCCAUUCCUUAAUGUCAUAAUCUCUGAAGCCCUGGGCUUCAGGAAGAUGUCUAGGGUUGUGUUCUGCUGCGGACAUGAUAGUAUCCUUUGGGGCAGAAGAUAUUCGGGGUGGGUUUUUUUGCAUCCCUACUUUGUUACAAGUUGUAUCAUAACUUUUCUUUGUGACCUAGGAGGGUGCAAUCCAUCUCUUGGAACCCCAGAUAAUUCAUCCAGUGGGAUAUCCUGUUGAAAGUCACUGUUACUCCAAUGCUUCCCCAGUCUGUCCUGAGGCUCUUUAGCUGUGAAGGUUUGAGAUGUUUCUGUUCCAGCUGUAACUGGAGCAGUUUGGGCAGCUGGACACCUAUGAUAUAAAUUAUCCCAAGGUAGUUUAAUUCCAGUCUUGCUGUAUUCAGGUAAACUGCUGCUGGAAGCAGCACCAGCUCUCUCCCUGCACCUGAACAGAGUUGGGGUUUAUAUCCUGGCAUUGGGCACCUUGACACCCGAGAGGUGUGAUUUGGAUCUCCAGAGGAAAAAAGGGAGCCUUUCCCACCCUCGUGGUCCUUUGGGUGAGGACGAAGCCCAGGCACCCAGGUGGAAGCCAGGAGCAUGCCAUGGAGGGGUGGCUGUGUGUGGGCAAGGGGGCUGAAAAGUUUUUGGUCUCGAUUCAAGCCACUGAAAGCCAGAAGUAAAACACCAUCCAUUGUUGGUUUA